AGUGAACGCUGGCGGUAGGCCUAACACAUGCAAGUCGAACGGCAGCACAGUAAGAGCUUGCUCUUACGGGUGGCGAGUGGCGGACGGGUGAGGAAUACAUCGGAAUCUACUUUUUCGUGGGGGAUAACGUAGGGAAACUUACGCUAAUACCGCAUACGACCUACGGGUGAAAGCAGGGGAUCUUCGGACCUUGCGCGAUUGAAUGAGCCGAUGUCGGAUUAGCUAGUUGGCGGGGUAAAGGCCCACCAAGGCGACGAUCCGUAGCUGGUCUGAGAGGAUGAUCAGCCACACUGGAACUGAGACACGGUCCAGACUCCUACGGGAGGCAGCAGUGGGGAAUAUUGGACAAUGGGCGCAAGCCUGAUCCAGCCAUACCGCGUGUGUGAAGAAGGCCUUCGGGUUGUAAAGCCCUUUUGUUGGGAAAGAAAAGCAGCAGGUUAAUACCCCGCUGUUCUGACGGUACCAAAAGAAUAAGCACCGGCUAACUUCGUG
rnacentral:rRNA from 1 species